GACAGAGGGUGCAAACGUUGUUCGGAAUUACUGGGCGUAAAGCGCGUGUAGGCUGCUCUGCAAGUCGGAUGUGAAAGCCCUGGGCUCAACCUAGGAAGUGCAUUCGAAACUGCAGAGCUUGAGUCCUGGAGAGGAAGGCGGAAUUCUCGGUGUAGAGGUGAAAUUCGUAGAUAUCGAGAGGAACACCCGUGGCGAAGGCGGCUCUCUGGGACGGUACUGACGCUGAGACGCGAAAGCGUGGGGAGCGAACAGG
rnacentral:rRNA from 1 species